GGCCGUAACAAUGUCCGCACUUCCCGUCUUUCUGGCUACCAUAUAUAUAUUUGCUCUACAACGGAGCACCUCAAUCCAAUCAUAUCCCGAAAUUCAGCCACAACUGGAAAUAUUCCAAAACUGCUAUCCCGACAGUGGCAUCUGGUUCAUGGUCAAGAGAAAUUAUCCCUACGAUCCAUACCACGGCGGAAGCGCUAGAUGCGUGAAAUAUGAGAGAAUUGGACCGGUCAUAGGUAACAGCAUGAACGUAAGGUACUCUUGGUGUCAGGAUGGUUCCGGACGUGGAUACGGAUCAAGUGUCGGCCGUCACGUUCUUACUUCUACUCCAGGAUACCACGAUGGGAAUCUGUACAACUUUUUCCCCUUCAAUGGU
rnacentral:lncRNA from 1 species